AUGCAUCCGUUACCGGAUUGUGAUAGAUGUACACUAAUAAAUUAUCACUGUAUCAAAAAGACCGAAGCCCUCUGGUGCCCAGGGAAGAAUAAAAAAGAAAAGAAGAAGAAGAAAAAACGGGACAAAGACAGAGAUGGCGCACGGAAUAUAGAUAUUGUAAUACCAAGUGGGCUCUGCAUGGGAAACCUGGUUGCGUGCUGCACUCUAGAGGGAACAUUCAGCAUCAUUCCUCAGUUUUGCACAGGAUGACAGUGAGCCUGCUUUGAUACACCCAAAUUACCUCUAAUGUAACCCUUCUUUUUCCAGUCUUCACAAAAUUGCUUUACUUAAUUGAACUGCACCUGUGUGCAAUUGUGAUUUUUGAAAAAUAUGGGUCAGGGCAAAUAUUAUUAGACUGUAUAUGGAAUGAGUGCUAAAACUGGCUUUUCUCCAAAACAGGCUUUAAGAAACAUACUGUAGAAGGCCAGCACACGCCUAUGGAAACCCUAACGAAAUUGCAGUCCAAAGAGGUGGGAGGAAAUGGACAGGAUAUGACGGUAUCAUGCAUGCUUCAAAGAUCUAGGUUUUUUUUUUGUUUGUUUGUUUUUUUUUUUUGGGUGUGAGCAAAGCAGAGAGGAAUGAGGACAUUUUUUUUUUUAAACGAAUUAAUACUUUUAUUCAGCAAGGAUGGAUUAAAUUGAACAAAAGUGACAGUAAAGACAUACAAUAAUAUUUAUAUUCAUCAAAGAAUUCUGUAUCACAAUUUCCACAAAUAUAUUAAGCAGCAUAACAGUUUUCAACAUUAUUAUUAUUAUUAAUAAUAAUAAUAAAAAUUGAGCAGCAAAUCAGCAAAUAAGAAUGAUUGAGUGACACUGAAAACUGGAGUAAUGGCUGCUGAAAAUUAAACUUUACUAUCACAAGAAUAAAUAAUAUUUUUAAAAUAUAUUAAAUUAUAUUAAAAUGUAUAUUAAAAUAUAUUCAAGUAAGUUUAAAUAAUAUUAUUUGACAAAUUAUCAUAUUUAAAUUUUCUCAUUUUCCAUCUUUCAAAUAGUUUUUUUUUUAUUGUUUUUUUUAUUAUUAUUUUAAAUCUUAACAAAGCCAACUUUUGCACGGUAUGUGCAUCUAAACUGUAAAUCAGAGAAAACAGUUGUAGGUUCAAGCUGUGUGGCUGACUGAAAUGAAGCAUGACAACAAUUUAUAAAUGUAUUAAUUUGACAAUUUAUAAAUGCAUCAUUCAUGCAUCAUUCAACAAGUGUUUUUAAAAAUAGUUUUUUUCUGAACCAAUAUUGAUCACUGUGUUUAAAAUGCAUAAUUAACAAAUAGUCCUUGUGUAAGCACUCAGACAAAGCCAAGGGUCAGACUGACUAGGACAGUUCAUGUCCUGAAGUCUGAAUUACUAAUAACAAAAAUUGCAAAGAACUUUAUUUACAUAAUUAAACAUCUCCCCCACAUAACAUGCAUCCCUGCUUUUUAUAGCACAUUUAGCAUCUGUUGUUUAAACAUUUUAUGGGGCUUUCUGAAAAUAUUUUUCAAUAUUC
ensembl:lncRNA